GCGAAUCUCGAAAGCCUGUCUCAGUUCGGAUUGGAGGCUGAAACCCGCCUCCAUGAAGUUGGAUUCGCUAGUAAUCGCGCAUCAGCCAUGGCGCGGUGAAUACGUUCCCGGGCCUCGUACACACCGCCCGUCAAGCCAUGGGAGCCGGGGGUGCCUGAAGUUCGUGACCGCAAGGAGCGACCUAGGGCAAAACUGGUGACUGGGGCUAAGUCGUAACAAGGUAAC
rnacentral:rRNA from 1 species